GGGGAAGACCCCAAUUGUGGGGGGGGGGUUGAGGGGGGAGACCCCAUUAGGUGCCAUUUGGGGUCAUUGGCUGCCAUUUAGGCCAUUAAACCCAUUUUUGGGUCAAAAAAGGCUGAUUUUGGUUCACUUUGUUGUCAGAGCUCCCGUCCCAACCGAGUUUGACUUUGAGGAUGAACCCACAGCGCCACGGAGUGAGCUCAUGGAGAGACGCAGAGCACCAGGCAGCGCCGCCCGUCGUCGCCGCGAGGCCCGUUUGGACAAAGUCCUUUGGGACAUGCAACGCCACCGGAGACUGGAGGAACAGAUCCUACGGACAGGCCGGGACCUAUUUCCACCCACCAAAUACUGAAAAAACCCAAAAAACCCCAUUUUUAUGGCCCAAAAAGCUCCUUUUUCACCCCAAAAAGAGACUUUUAGGCCUAACUAGGCCUCAUGAGGCCUAACUAGGCCGCGUUGUCGCCUCUUGAUGACGUCAUAGCUGCGACUUCCUGUUUUAGCCCCGCCUCUUCCUGUUGAGGCCGCCAUCUUGUCCCUCACAAAUACUGAUAAACCCCCACAAAAACGCCAUUAUUAUGCCCAAAUAAACAACUUUUUCACCCCCA
rnacentral:lncRNA from 1 species